rnacentral:misc_RNA from 1 species
AACACCAUGAAGGUAUGCAACCAGCAGUAGCCACAUUUAAUUUGCCCUUUUUUUUUUAAUGCUAUUAUUAUAUUGAUCGAUUUACUUACAUUUAUUUCAAAUUCAAACCUUCUAUUCAAGUUUAAAAUUUCGAAUGGGUUUUAAAUUUCUUUACGAACUUACCAAUUUAAAUAUAAUCAAAUAAUUUUGCUGGGUAUAUUUGCAUCCGCAGAAAAG